UAACACGUGGGAUAACGUGCCUCGGUGACCGGGACAACAGUUGGAAACGACUGCUAAUACCGGAUGGCAUGGCCGGUCCUCAAGGGCCGGACAUUAAAUGAUUUCGAUCGCGCCGAGAUCGGCCCGCGGCUCAUUAGCUUGUUGGUGAGGUAACGGCUCACCAAGGCGACGAUGGGUAGCCGGUUUGAGAGGAUGGCCGGCCACACUGGGACUGAGACAUGGUCCAGACUCCUACGGGAGUUAGCAUUGGGGAAUCUUGCACAAUGGGCGAAAGCCUGAUGCAGCGACGCCGCGUGGGUGAUGAAGGCCUUAGGGUCGUAAAGCCCUGUCAGGAGUGAACGAAAGCCCGCGGUGAGCGGGACUGACGGUACCUCCAAAGGAAGCCCCGGCUAACUACGUGCCAGCAGCCGCGGUAACACGUAGGGGGCCAGCGUUGUCCGGAAUUACUGGGCGUAAAGAGCACGUAGGCGGCACGGUAAGCGGCUGGUGAAAUCCCGGGGCUCAACCC
rnacentral:rRNA from 1 species